rnacentral:rRNA from 1 species
UACGGAGGAUCCAAGCGUUAUCCGGAUUUAUUGGGUUUAAAGGGUGCGUAGGCGGAUUGAUAAGUUAGAGGUGAAAUGUCCGAGCUCAACUCGGGAACUGCCUCUAAUACUGUUGAUCUAGAGAGUAGAUGCGGUAGGCGGAAUGUAUGGUGUAGCGGUGAAAUGCUUAGAGAUCAUACAGAACACCGAUUGCGAAGGCAGCUUACCAAUCUAUAUCUGACGUUGAGGCACGAAAGCGUGGGUAGCAAACAGG